rnacentral:rRNA from 1 species
AGAGUUUGAUCCUGGCUCAGGACGAACGCUGGCGGCGUGCUUUACCCAUGCAAGUCGAACGGUCCCGCGAGGGACAGUGGCAGACGGCUGAGUAACACGUGAGUGACCUGCCCAGAGGUGGGGGAUAGCCAUCCGAAAGGAUGGGUAAUACCGCGUAAGCUCACCAGUGUAGAGGCUGGUGAGGAAAGUCUUCGGACGCCUUUGGAGGGGCUCGCGGCCCAUCAGGUAGUAGGUGGGGUAACGGCCUACCUAGCUGAUGACGGGUAGCUGGUCUGAGAGGAUGAUCAGCCAGACUGGGACUGAGAGACGGCCCAGACUCCUACGGGGGGCAGCAGGGGGGAAUCUUGGACAAUGGGGGAAACCCUGAUCCAGCGACGCCGCGUGGGGGACGAAGGUCUUCGGAUCGUAAACCCCUUUUGUCAGGGAAGAUGAUGACGGUACCUGACGAAUAAGCCCCGGCUAACUACGUGCCAGCAGCCGCGGUAAUACGUAGGGGGCGAGCGUUGUCCGGAUUUACUGGGCGUAAAGAGCGCGUAGGCGGCUUGCUAAGUUGGCUGUGAAAACUCCCGGCUCAACUGGGAGAGGUCGGCCGAGACUGGCAGGCUCGAGGGCGGUAGAGGAAGGUGGAAUUCCGGGUGUAGUGGUGAAAUGCGUAGAUAUCCGGAGGAACACCGUUGGCGAAGGCGGCCUUCUGGGCCGCACCUGACGCUGAGGCGCGAAAGCGUGGGGAGCGAACUGAAUUAGAUACUCAGGUAGUCCACGCCCUAAACGAUGGACGCUAGGUGUAGGGGGUAUCGACCCCCCCUGUGCCGAAGCUAACGCAUUAAGCGUCCCGCCUGGGGAGUACGGCCGCAAGGCUAAAACUCAAAGGAAUUGACGG